ACUGAACGCUGGCGGCAGGCUUAACACAUGCAAGUCGAGCGGAGCGGCGGACGGGUGAGUAAUGUCUAGGAAUCUGCAUGGUAGCGGGGGAAAACGUCCGGAAACGGGCGCCAAUAACGCAGACUAUCAGAUGAGCAUAGGUCGGAUUAGCAGGUUGGUGGGGUAAAGGCCUACCAAGGCGAAGGUCCGUAACUGGUCUGAGAGGAUGAUCAGUCACUCUGGAAUUGAGACACAGUCCAGACUCCUACGGGAGGCAGAAGUGGGGAAUAUUAGACAAUGGGCGAAAGCCUGAUCCAGCCAUGCCGCGUGUGUGAAGAAGCUCUUCGGAUUGUAAAGCACUUUAAGUUGAGAGGCGUUACCAGCAGAGUAAGCACCGGCUAACUUCGUGCCAGCAGCCGCGGUAAUUC
rnacentral:rRNA from 1 species